rfam:Mus musculus chromosome 6, GRC primary reference assembly.
AGAUUAGUUGGCUCUGCCUGUGACAUCUGUCAACCCAUUGAUCGCCAUGAUUGCUUUGACUGAUCUGGCUGUCUAGGCGGGUGUCCCUUCUUCCCUUAAAGCUCCAUGUGUGUUCCUUCUGAAGCAGCAUGCUCAGGCGAAUAGGACAUAACCUUCUCUGAAAAGAGGAGGGCUGGUCUUCAGUCAAGGGUAUAUGAGUAGCUAAGUUCACCUGCUAGAAUCUCCUAACAAGCUCACAAAGUCCUUAGACUUUUGCAGAAAGCCUUUUACUCACUCAGGCAUUUCUCUAGUUAUAUAUGACAUAUGACAUUUUAAUUAAAAAG